rnacentral:rRNA from 1 species
UACGUAGGGGGCUAGCGUUGUCCGGAUUUAUUGGGCGUAAAGAGCGUGUAGGCGGCCAGGUAGGUCCGUUGUGAAAACUGGAGGCUCAACCUUCAGAGGUCGACCGAAACCAUCUGGCUAGAGUCCGGGAGAGGAGAGUGGAAUUCCUGGUGUAGCGGUGAAAUGCGCAGAUAUCAGGAGGAACACCAAUGGCGAAGGCAGCACUCUGGGACGUGACUGACGCUGAGACGCGAAAGCGUGGGGAGCAAACAGG